rnacentral:lncRNA from 1 species
AGCACUUGGAGCAACAAUGCUUUGAGCCUGUAGGAACUUCUGGAUCGGGAAGUUCAUUGCGUAGGCAAAGAUUUGAGGGAUGAGACCGUAGACGAAGAGAGACGCGGCGGAAGCUAUCUCCGGCGAUUCCCCGAGGAAAAGUAGAAAAGGUUUGGAGAAGACGUAGAUAAAGGUGAGGAAGACGCCGGUGAGAGUGAGUAAUACGGCGGAUCUCUGGAGAUAAAUGCCGAGCAUAUCGUACUUCCUACCUCCAAACGCUUGUCCACAAAGCGUUUCCACCGCACUCCCCAUUCCUAGCUACAUAUUUUUAGGCUCCAAAGUUAUUACAAAACAGUUUAAAGUAUGUUGUAUAAUAUUCUUGUAACAAUUCUCGUAAUUUGUAAUAUAUAAUCAGUGUUAAAAAAAAUUCCAAUCCAUAACCACAUUAAAAGAUCAACAGAUGAUUUAGUUACCAUGAGACCGUAGGCGAAGACUUGUAUCCCGGUGUUCCCGAGAGAAGCGGCGGCGAGUUCUAGGUUUCCUAGGUGGCCGGAGAAGAUUUGAGUAGACAUGGACAUGAGAUAGUUUAUCAUGUAGACGAUGACAGCAGGCGCAGCAAGCUUGAAGAGAAGUUUGGAUUCAAUCAUCGUGGCUUUACGCAGACGGGCAAACAGGGGAGUUUCAACGUCGGAUAGGACUCUCUCUAACUCGCUGUUGUUCGACUCCGUCGCCGGAGAAAGCUGAGGCUGGAGAAGUGGUUGGUAUGCGCCAUCGUUUUGAGACGAGUCCAUGAGACUUUGCUCUGCUUAAGUCUAGUGAAGGUCUUUUUGUAGAGGGUGGCAAACUAGCAAUUGACUUACGGCUUAUAUGCACAGUGCACACUCGUGAUUCUCGCCUUGAGUUUUUUUUUUUUUUUUUUUUUUUUGAGAUAGAUAGAACUCUAGUGCUUGUGGUAAGCCCACGUCAAUUAUUUUCAUUUCAUAUCAUUUUCUUAUUUCGGUUUUUGUUUUGUUUUCAAAGGACAUUCAAUUAAGAUCAUCAUUAACAGUUAGAAAUCUACUAGGUUCUUAACUAGAUAGUUUCAUAUUUAAAAAGCAUUGAGAAAGUGAAAAUUAGGGCUGGGCAAAAAACCCGGAUCCGAAGAAUCGAACCGAACCCAAUCCGAAAAAGUAGUACCAAACCCGAACCGAAAUUGAUUAAAUAUCUGAACGGGUUCAAAUUUUGGUAUCUAGAGAACCGAAACCAAAUCCGACCCGAACCGAAGUAUUUCGGGUAUCCGAAUGUAACCGAAAUAGAUUUAUAUACCUAAAUAUAUUACUUAUUUUUAGAUUUAAUAUAUAUUAAAAACAUCCAAAAUAUAUAAGAUACUUUAAAGUUGUCUAAAAUACUUGAAAUAUACAUAAAUAGUCAAAAGUAAUGUCUAAAAUAGAUAAAAUAUAUUCAAAACACCAAAAUACUUGAAAUAUUUUAACAUAUAUUAUACAAAUUUAUAUGUAAUACAUUAUUUUGAUUUAUAGAUUUUGAAAAAUUUUAAGCAUAUAAUGAAUAUUAAAAAUAAUUUAAAUGAGUUAUCCGAACCCGAACCGAACCCGCAAAGAUCCGAACCGAACCCGAACAAUUAAUUUAGCAAACGAAAUCAACGAAUCAAAUAUUUAUUUUGAAAGCAAAUAUUUUUGAUGAAAGACUUACCAAAUGGAGAGAGAAUCAAGAGCAAGUUCUGGGUUCUCGAGAAGUCCGGCAAGAAGAACCAAGAUCUGAAAAUACCAAGUCUCAAGGCAAAGCAUCACGGCAGAGGCGGCUGAGAGUUUGAAGAAACUCGGUAGCCCCGAGAACGCUUGCACACUGAACCCUCUCCACGUCUCACGACACCGAUCACUCGUCACGAUAUAAACAAACUGAGCCACCACUAUAACCCACCACGAGAGGCUGAGCACGAGCGACGCUCCAAGAAGCCCCAUCCCAAGCUUGUAAACAGCGAGCCAGCUAAGGAGAAGAUGAACGAAGAGAGUGGCUGUUGCAAUGUAAGCACUUGGAGCAACAAUGCUUUGAGCCUGUAGGAACUUCUGGAUCGGGAAGUUCAUUGCGUAGGCAAAGAUUUGAGGGAUGAGACCGUAGACGAAGAGAGACGCGGCGGAAGCUAUCUCCGGCGAUUCCCCGAGGAAAAGUAGAAAAGGUUUGGAGAAGACGUAGAUAAAGGUGAGGAAGACGCCGGUGAGAGUGAGUAAUACGGCGGAUCUCUGGAGAUAAAUGCCGAGCAUAUCGUACUUCCUACCUCCAAACGCUUGUCCACAAAGCGUUUCCACCGCACUCCCCAUUCCUAG